UUGCAGGACAUCCAGACCUUGAGUCAUCUUCAAGACUCUCCCUUCCCUUCCAACAUCCAGCUGCUCACUUUUGCACUGUUGAUAAAACUGGGUCAUCAUCCUCUAAUGUAGCAACCAUGUCAGCAUGAAUGUCCUUGGGGGCUAAACCCCCUUUUCUGUAGGUACUUGAUAAUACCACGAUGCCAGAUUUUGUCCAUUUUCAAGAGACGUCGCUACUUGUUACUUUUGAAGUGUUCUUUCAACAGUCAGAUGUCAGUUUAUCUGGAAAGAAAAAAUGCAGACUAUUGGUUAAAUGCUUGGCAGAUUUAACCAU